rnacentral:miRNA from 1 species
UGAAGUGCGAUGUGGACAUCAG